rnacentral:rRNA from 1 species
CCCUUAGAUGUUCUGGGCCGCACGCGCGCUACACUGAUGCAUUCAACGAGUCUAAAACCUGGUCUGAUAGGGCUGGGUAAUCUUUUGAAAGUGCAUCGUGAUUGGGAUAGAUGAUUGCAAUUCUUCAUCUUCAACGAGGAAUGCCUAGUAAACGUAAGUCAUCAGCUUGCAUUGAUUACGUCCCUGCCCUUUGUACACACCGCCCGUCGCUCCUACCGAUUGAAUGAUCCGAUGAAUACCAUGGAUUGAGAGUACGAAUGGGUUCGCUCAUUUCUGCUGCUCGUGAAGUGGAGUAAAUCUUAUCAUUUAGAGGAAGGAGAAGUCGUAACA